UUGCAUUAAUCUAGAAUCAAACAAAGUUCUCAACCUACAAUAGGUUGGCUUACAAAGUCAAGAAGGCUUCUCUUUGCCAGAGAGUCAGCCUCGACAUUUAGGGAACGCGAAACAAAGUGAAAAGAGAUAGAUUCGAAGGAUGCCGAUAGAGCAGAGAUGUCAUUUAGGACACUCUGAACCUCUAGGCAUCGACUCCGAGAGUUGAUACAAUCCAUCAGAACUUUUGAGUCAGAGCACACGCUCAUACUCAUGAAGUUCCUUAACGCCGCAUCGCUGAUAGCAGCUUUGACCGCAAGAGCUUCAGCCAUCAGAGCCGAAGCGACAUGAGAGCGGUUUGUAGUGUUGGUUACAGGCCUGCCAGACUCUGUGUCCUUAAAGAUCCAUCCCAUUCCUCCAAUGUGAG
rnacentral:lncRNA from 1 species